rnacentral:rRNA from 1 species
UACGUAGGCCCCAAGUGUUAUCCGGAUUUAUUGGGCGUAAAGAGUGCGUAGGAGGUUUGACGCGUUAACUGUUAAAUUUUACUGCUCAACAGUAAAACUGCAGUUAAAACGGUCAAACUUGAGGACGUCAGAGGCCAUUGGAACGUACGGUGUAGGGGUGAAAUCCGUUGAUAUCGUACGGAACACCAAAGGCGAAGGCAAAUGGCUGGGGCGUUCCUGACUCUGAGGCACGAAAGCGUGGGGAGCAAAAAGG